UUUAACUAUUAAAUAAUUUUCAGACAGCAAUUAUCAGGGAUUUUAAAGUCCUCUGGCAGGCACUGACCAGCCAAAGCCAGCGGCCAUGAGGCGGGCCUGCCAAAACAACAGAAGGUAAAAUAAGCAAAGGAUAGGAGAUCUGCCCGAUGAGGGCAUGUUCUCUAUAAUGAUCCUUCCGCAGGUUCACCUACGGAAA
rnacentral:misc_RNA from 1 species